AGGAUGUGGUAGCAGGAGAGGGACUACAGGAGUGGCUUCUGUGAGAAGCUACCAGAAGCUUUCCCUAUGUCCAACAGAGCCAACGCCAGCCAGCUCCAGGAUGAACCAGGCCAAGGUUGAGCCAAUCAGAGAUGGUGUUUCUCAUACCAUUUGGAACCCUGUGUAGAACUGCAGUACUGUCACGGUCACAGAAUCACAGAAUGAGUAAGGUUGGAAGGGAGGCCUAUCUGCACUGAGUAUGGAAGUCAGCAGAGGAUUAGCUUGGG